rnacentral:misc_RNA from 1 species
GGUUGGAUCCCUGCCUAGUGCGGCGACGUCCUAUCUUGCUAUCCUCUUCAUUGUUGGCACAAUUUUUGUUGGUCGUUUGUCGGUUUCCUGUGUUGCGUACCUACUCGAUGGAAUUCGAUUGCCAAUCUCUCGCCGUUCGCCUUAGGCUSCCUCGUUGCGGUCGCAGGUGAAAUUCAAAAUGAGAUUCGUGUCCCCCGUGCUGCACGUUUCGUGUCGGUUCGUGGACCAUGAAUUCUCGUUCGGGCGCUGGGAUGCAGUAAACGACGAGGGCACGGAGUCUUCGACUCCUAUCUGUCCGCAUAGGCUCUAAUGCCUGUUUCGAACGACUUUCGGUCCCGUUCCGGCCUCGUGCCGUGCGGGCCGAUGUCUGUGAGGAAUGCUAC